rnacentral:lncRNA from 1 species
AAAGGGCGCAAGUGCUCAGAUCGAUACAAAGAAGACAUUCGCAGACCGGACGUCGAAGCGUACUAGUGCAUUCACGCAACAAAAUUAAUACACGAAGUACGGAUAUGAAGGUACUGGCAGUUAAUGACAACUAGUUCAAAGCCAAAAACAACAUAUAAAAAAAAAUCAUGCAUCUAAGACUUACGUAUCAAUACCACAUUCAACAUACAAUGCAUUUAGUGUAAAGAGUCAAUGGAAAACAUAAUAUUUUGUAAUGCCAAAAUACAGGUAUCGACAUAUUGUAGAACCUUGGAUGACACAUGCAUUAUACACAUAUAAAGAU